rnacentral:lncRNA from 1 species
UGCUUAAAUCUUUUUACUCUCUGAGUUAUGAAUUUAGGUUAGUUCUACAUCCAAGAUAAAUCUCAAUUAAUUCUUCUUUUUUCUUUUCCCAUUUCCUCCUGUCUCCCUCUCUUCUUUCCUUCUACUCUUUUCUUCACUUUUCUCUCUCUCUUCUUCUCAGUUUUUAUUUUUGUAAUUUGAAAUCAAUGUGCAAGCCAGAGCUUCUUUAGGAAAGACCAUUCCUGAGAGAACAACAGGAAGAAAUAUGAAUGUUAAACAUGUGGUGCCGUGUGGAAGCAAAGCUCCAUAAUUAAUCUAUAGAGCCAUCACCACUGUCAAAAGCAGAAAGGCCCCAGAGGAAAUAAUUUUUGUAUAGAAUGAUGGCAGCAUUAGUGACAGCAGUAAUGAUAAGACACUGAAAAGUAUGUGAAAAUUUCCUUUACAAUCCUGUGUGAGGUUUAAUUAUAAAAACUAGUAUCUUGGACACUUAACUAUUUUUUUUCAGAGGGAAUCAGAGCUAUUUCCAUGAAUUAAUGUCUUAAUCCCCACAACAAUGAGGUCGUGGUCAUCUAGUUGUAGAAUGACUCCUGCCUGCUACAUUUCCCCAGAUACCCAGGACCUUCAUGCUGUCACUCUCCAUGACCUGACCAACAUCUAUUUUGAGAAAUUAUUUUAUAUACUCAUUCAAACAGUCAUCUUUUGUGUCCAGAGUUGGUUCCUUCUGGUGGGUUCGUGGUCUCGCUAACUUCAAGAAUGGAGCCACGGACCUUCGCGCAACAGAAGAAUGCCAAGAUGGUAAUGUUUAGCAAGACUCUGCACACCUGUACCUGCAGACAGUAAGAACAAACGGAAUUAGAAGUACAGUUUUGAAAUGAAAUAGUAAGAAGGUAUUUGGUGACAUAAGAAUGAAUGAGUCCUGCAAAGGAAGAUACAAAGAAAGAAAAGGGCAGAUAACUGAGUAUCAAGCCUAUCAAGUUAAUUUUUAAAUCAUUUCCCUUUACCUUCUUUUAUCUUAUUUUGUUUGAGUCUUUCUAUCCUGUUCUUGUACUGGAAACAAGAUGUCAGCUUAACUAGCUCUAAAUUAACUGCAGCCUUAAGCAUGUGAAGUGAUGAUAGUCUCCAGGACAAGCUUGCUGUUUCAAAUCUUGGCAGUCUAGACUUGGCUUCUAGCUUCUCUACUUUUCUGCAUGGCUGGGAAAGAUAGACUGCAAAUUUAGGAGCAGAUUCUUCUAUAGCACUGUUCCAAUAUCAAAGAAAUGCCAGGAACUCACAGGGUUUCCUUCUUUCACAGCCAAUAGAUUAAUUAUUCUGUUUACGAUUUAUUCAGUAAGUAUUUAUUAAAUGCCUACUAUGGACCUAAUACUAGGCUAUAUAAUAAAUGUUUCUGCUCUAAUGGAGCUCAUGAUCGGGUAAGGCAAGAGACAACACAUAUAUAACAAACAAACAUUCAAUGACCAAUUUGAAGAUGCCGUAAAGGGAAGCAGACGGGGAUUGGACAGUGCAACAAAGAAAACAAGAUAUGGGGUAGUCAUGUUGGCUCCUAUGAGAAGAUAACACUUAAGCCAAAACCUUAAAAGAUAGCAGAGUCAGCCUGUGAAGAGAGAUGAAAAGAAUUUCAGGUAGAGGCAGCAGCAAAGAUCUUUGAGGACCUAUAGGCCUCCCAGUAAACCUGGAGCAGAAUGAAUAAGAGGAAGAGCUAGAUUUGCCAGGGAGGAAGGGUCCCAUCAUGCAGAGCUUCAUGGCUGUGGGGAGGACUUUGGAUGUUAGAAGGUUUAUUAAAAAAACCACUGAUAUUUAAGCACAGGUGUAGCAUGAUUCCAGGGAGCAACCUCAAAUAACGCUAAUACUAGACUUCCAAAUUGACAGUCCCUACAUUUUUUUUGCUGGUUGGUUCAUUUUCAUUUUGUUUUGUUUUGUUUUUAUUAAUUAGGCACUCUGAGUCUGCUGCAGGCUUGUGCCUCACAUGUACACAAAGCCACGGUCUUAAUUACAAGUUAGAUAACAAAUCAAACAAAUCUUUAAAGGGAAAAAAAGGUUAACAAAAUUUGAACCAUGUAGUCAUGAUAAAAUAAAAAAUAACAUGUCAGCACUUAGCAGUUGUUUUGAAGAGACAUUUUAAAGAAAAUAUAAACUGUGACUUAUGGCCACUGAUGGCAGAAAGGCUACAGACUUUGUAUGUGCAGGGUGGGAGAGACAUAAGAUAUUACCUUGGUUUUGACAUAUUACCAACAGAAAAUGCUAUUAAAUACCAGAAUGGGUUUCCUAGAGCUUCUUCCUGAGGGUUUUAGAAAUUCAAUACUCAUUUGUCUGAAAUAAUUGUGGCGUUUCCAUGUCUAAAGUAAAAGAGAUGGACUGGAUUUUUUUCAAGAUUUUCCUGAGAUGAAAAAGCCGUGAGUCCCCAAGAGUCUCUCAUAAAUAACAAACUGUACAGUAAAGAGAGAUCAGAAUUUGGCAAUUAGUAGGUGUUCAAUAGAUGUUAACUGGUUUCUUAGUCAUGAGUAAAAUGAUGAAUAUAGUAUUUCUGGGGAGAGAAAUAUUGUCUGCUAAUAUCUGAUAAUGGUGAGAAUCAGAUAUUUAACAAUUACCAUCAUACAUAAGAAACAUUCCAGGUAAUACUGUGAAACAUUCUCAGCAGCCGUGAGUCAGUCAAAUGGAAGUUAAUGUGUUUUGAAGAACACAUCACAGGUGAGAGAUGUGGGCAUCAGAGUCAGACGAAGCAGCAGUUAGCAGGAGGCGGCCAGUAUGAGAGAAGGCCAGCCACAAUAUGGAAGCAAUUGAUUGCUAAGGGUAAGUCCCGCCAAGUCAAUGGUGAAAGCCAUGAAAAAGCCAGUGGAAGUCGAAGAUGGAGGCCACGGUGGCAGAAGCCCCCUUGGAAGGAAUGUGCCACUAACACAGACAAUAAAUUGCCAGUCAAAUGGGGGAUGGCUCAAUGGAAAACAUCUAAAUCAGGGCAGGCCAGCCCACUGGCAGCAAGGCAAGCCAGUCAAUGGGGUAGUCACAGUGGAUCCAAAGGCAGAAUCAGUACAUCCAGGGGAACAUGAGAUGGGCAAUAUCUGCGGCAUGGGUUUAACUGAAGCUCACCAACUGGCAAGGGCAAUGCAUUUGGGUAGAACAGGAGAGCAGAGGACAGAAGCCAAGAGAUGUGAUUUGAGCUGUGCCAAGUGAGCAGAAUGGUCUCUGAGGAAAUAUCAGCUUCCUACCAACUAGGAGGCUUCUGGCAGUGUGAGAGCUGCACGCAAACUGCCAAGUGUGGCAGGGCAAGGAUCAUGGCAGCAGGCAUGUAGGAUGCACAGAGGGAACAGCUAAGCUACUACAUUGAGUGCCAACGUACUCCACUGGCAUCCUGCAGCCCAAUAUCCAAGCACAGCCUGAAAAACUGGAAGAGCACUGAAUGAGGAGGCAGAAGUUGAGGUUUAAACUCUAGUUCUGCACUAACUAUACCACCUUAUAUUAAAACUCUGCCUUGCUGUUGAUAGUUCGUUCUUUCUCAUCACCCAGAAACUGCAAGUCUCCCUCUCCAAACCAAAUUCCUGAGACUGGAGCCCUGACCUGAGACUGGAGGUGAUCCAAAUGCUGAUAGUCAUCCUUAUUGCCACUAUCCCACUCUGCAUUUCCUGGUUGGAUAAACAUCUAAGAAAAUGCUGGUUUUGUCUUCAUCCAUGCAUACUUCUCCAUCUGCUUUCCAGUCUAUGCUCUCACAUACUGUGUCUGAAAGCCUGAACUAGGCCAGGCGCAUUGGCUCAUGCCUGUAGUCCUAGCAUUUUGGGAAGCUGAGGCAGGUG